rnacentral:rRNA from 1 species
CAGUCGCCGCGGUAAUACGUAGGGUGCGAGCGUUAAUCGGAAUUACUGGGCGUAAAGCGUGCGCAGGCGGUUAUAUAAGACAGAUGUGGAAUCCCCGGGCUCAACCUGGGACCUGCAUUUGUGACUGUAUAGCUAGAGUACGGUAGAGGGGGAUGGAAUUCCGCGUGUAGCAGUGAAAUGCGUAGAUAUGCGGAGGAACACCGAUGGCGAAGGCAAUCCCUUGGACCUGUACUGACGCUCAUGCACGAAAGCGUGGGGAGCAAACAGGAUUAGAUACCCGUGUAGUCCCUGUCUCUUAUAC